GGGGAUAUAGCUCAGUUGUAGAGUGCUUACCUAGCAUGUGUGAAGCACUGGGUUCAAUUCUCAAUACCACCA
rnacentral:tRNA from 1 species